rnacentral:lncRNA from 1 species
UAUUCUCUUGCCAUUUAUUUAAAUAUAAUUUUCUAUAAUAAAAAUACAAGCCCUCUAGCAUCAUGUUUCUUUCUUUGUUCAUCUCAAGUUGAAUACAUGUGGUGAAAAACAAAAUCAGUGAAAGAUUGUAUCAAACCUAAUACUUCAGCAUCCAAAUCACUUCUGAGAACUGUGUCUGAACACUGUAAAGUGCUUCCUACCAUUGUGGCUUGAAAUUUUCUGCCAAUAAAACGUUUAUUUGCACCCAUGAGCCUUUCUCAGUGUACUGGACGCUGUACAAACACAGCACAGCUUCAUCAAAAGAUCACAGGUAAACAAGAAAAAUAUGAACUGUCAAUGAAUCAGGUUGGAGACGUUUCAAGAAAAACACUGACAAAAUCAAUAUUAUGUCAAGUUUAAGUCCACAUCUUCAUUAAUGACCCAGAAACGUA